AAAGAUAAGAAAUGAUCAGUUUUUAUGGUCAAAACAGCAACAGACAAGAUAACAGAUAGAUAUAUACAUAUGUCUGUAAAGUGAUUUGAGUCAACAGAGUCUUUAACUCUUUAAAAUGUGAAGGUUAAGUAGUCUUAGUGCUUACAGAUGUGAUCAGGAAAGUUAGAGAUACUUCAUGACAUUUCUUUGACCAGAGAGGUUUUUUUGCUUCUUUCAGGUCAUCUACAUGUGAUACUGUGUUUUAUCACAUCAAUAUAUUGUAUGUGCGUAUGGAUCUAUAAAUGUUUUCUUACUUUGUGAAUGUUUUUUUUCUCCAUUAACAAAAACAAUGAGAAAAUACAAUCAGUAAACAUUUACACAUGAAAAAUAAGCUUUCCAAGCUUGCC